rnacentral:tRNA from 1 species
AACAUUGGUCUUGUAAACCAAAGACUGAAGAUUGUCCCCCUUCUUAGAGUU